rnacentral:rRNA from 1 species
AUGGAAGAUGAGGACGAGCGCUUCUUGCUGCAUGGCUUGAGCUACUCCCCCAAGGCCGCGUACUCUGAAGAUGCUCAUGCUGCACUGAUUUGGAGGUCCAGAGCUCCUCAUAAACUGAAUUUAUUUGCCUGGUUACUCUUCCACGGUCUGUCUCAACACCUGCCCCUCGCUGCAGCGCCUCUUGUGAAGAUACACCCCACCUGUUCAUCUCUUGCCCGCACGCCGCCAGGAUGCUGGGCGCAGGCUGGCUUGUCUACAACUCGGAGAUUCCAAGACUUGUGGUUCUCUCAAUUUCUGCCAUUGUUGGACUCCCGAAUCUGGCCACAAGUGCUACUUGUACUUCUGGGGGAAAUCUGGGAUUCGCGCAAUGCUGCUGCCUGUAGAGGUGAAGACCACCCCUCUCUGCUCACUAUCCGAAACAUUGUAGUAACAGACUUUGAGUUGGUACUCUUUUCGCUUUCGAGACCCAGAUGA